UUAAGGAAAGCCUGAGAUUAGCUUUGUGAACUGUGUAAUCCUCAGUGGAGUAUACUGCUAAUGGAAAAGUCAUGGAACCGUGGGAGCAGUCGGAUUGGAAGUUGGGAGCGGGUGACCUCAACGGCAAAGAAGGCAUGUGAGACUGCAUUGUUCUUCUGAUCAAAGUGGACACGUCCCUGAAGAGAACAAUUUCCCGUGAAUCAAUUAAGCCAUAAGCAAGCUCUUAUUGAACAACAGAAAGAACUGUAUUAAGGUAAGUUUAACACAAUUCAAUUUAAAAAGUAGUUUGUUACCUAAUGUGUCAAUGUC
rnacentral:lncRNA from 1 species